rnacentral:rRNA from 1 species
UGGGGAAUUUUGGACAAUGGGGGAAACCCUGAUCCAGCCAUCCCGCGUGUGCGAUGAAGGCCUUCGGGUUGUAAAGCACUUUUGGCAGGAAAGAAACGUCGCGGGUUAAUACCCCGCGAAACUGACGGUACCUGCAGAAUAAGCACCGGCUAACUACGUGCCAGCAGCCGCGGUAAUACGUAGGGUGCAAGCGUUAAUCGGAAUUACUGGGCGUAAAGCGUGCGCAGGCGGUUCGGAAAGAAAGAUGUGAAAUCCCAGAGCUUAACUUUGGAACUGCAUUUUUAACUACCGGGCUAGAGUGUGUCAGAGGGAGGUGGAAUUCCGCGUGUAGCAGUGAAAUGCGUAGAUAUGCGGAGGAACACCGAUGGCGAAGGCAGCCUCCUGGGAUAACACUGACGCUCAUGCACGAAAGCGUGGGGAGCAAACAGGAUUAGAUACCCUGGUAGUCCACGCCCUAAACGAUGUCAACUAGCUGUUGGGGCCUUCGGGCCUUGGUAGCGCAGCUAACGCGUGAAGUUGACCGCCUGGGGAGUACGGUCGCAAGAUUAAAACUCAAAGGAAUUGACGGGGUCAUAGCUGUUUCCU